AUUGAACGCUGGCGGCGUGCUUAACACAUGCAAGUCGUGCGGUAACAGGCGUAGCAAUACGUGCUGACGAGCGGCGAACGGGUGCGUAAUACAUGGGAAUCUGCCCUUUAGUGGGGAAUAACCCGGCGAAAGCCGGGCUAAUGCCGCAUAAGAUCUUCGGAUGAAAGCGGGGGAUCGUAAGACCUCGCGCUGUUGGAUGAGCCUAUGUCGGAUUAGCUAGUGGUGAGGUAACGGCUCACCAAGGCGACGAUCCGUAGCUGGUCUGAGAGGACGGCCAGCCACACUGGGACUGAGACACGGCCCAGACUCCUACGGGAGGCAGCAGUGGGGAAUAUUGGACAAUGGGGAAACCCUGAUCCAGCGACGCCGCGUGUGUGAAGAAGGCCUGGCGGGUUUGU
rnacentral:rRNA from 1 species